CAAAUAAAUGGUUCCCUCCGACCACACUGAAAACAUACACCGUCCUCAAUGAAAGAGCAUAAAUAUAAAAUAAGAGUGAGAGAAAGGAAAGAACACACCCGAGGAGUCAAGGCGGAUAAGUGAUUGCAUAAGCAGCUUUCGCGAGAAAAAUCAUAUCUUGAGCUAGGAGUAUCGGAUUGAGAUGUGCUACCAGUCGAUGAAAACC
rnacentral:lncRNA from 1 species